UCUGUUCCCUCUCUGUUCCCUUUGCCAGAAGGAGCGUUGCGCUUUGGGAUUCACCUUCACUUUCUAGCUGCUUCCAUGGGCAGAGGGUUCAAGCAAUUCUGCCGCCUCAGCCUCCCGAGUAGCUGGGACCACAGGCGCCCGCCACCAUGCCCAGAUGAGAGGGUGCACAGAGGCACAUAUACAGCGGAGAAGGCCACGUGGAGACAGAGGUGAAGACUGGAGUGGUGCAGCCAGGGAACUGCCAAGGUGCCAGGAGCCACCAGGAGCUG